rnacentral:tRNA from 1 species
UGGGGGAUAGUUUAACGGUAGAACUUUCGGCUCUGGACCGAACAGUCCUGGUUCGAAUCCAGGUCCCCCAGCCA